GUUUGUCUGUUUUUUGAGAUGCAAGUAAAUCAAAUAAAUCAAACCCACCAGCUAGAGUAAUAAUCUCUGUUCAACCUCUAGAACUGCCGUGACUCAAAAACAUCAACCAAACUACAAUACAUGCAAAUAGGUAUAAUACAUAAAAGGUACGUGGUUCAGACGUUUAAAUUGGUGGCCGUGGCAAGGGUUGGAUAAUGGAUAAACAAAAUUUAAAAGUGACUUCAAUCCGGUCCGAUCCCGAUCAUCCAUGGCUGAGUCUAAUAGGAGUCGCGACGAGGCCUCGCCAACCUCGAAACCAACAGGAAUAGGAGUGGGUGACAGACGAAGAGGAGGGUUGAAUUAGAAUAGCCGAAUCGUACCCACCUGCAUGUUUAAUCACGUUUGGUAAUAAUUGACGUUAUUGUUCUUAGACUUAAUAUGAUAGAUUAAUAAAUAAAUAAUAAAUGAAUUGAAUAUUAAAAGAUUAUGGGGUUAUUCUUUACUUUUGAGGAUUACCAUAACCACAACUUGUGAACUAGGCCUAUUAUUAUAAAAAUGUGCCACACAUA